rnacentral:rRNA from 1 species
UACGGAGGGUGCAAGCGUUGUUCGGAAUCAUUGGGCGUAAAGCGCGUGUAGGCGGCUUGGUAAGUCGGGUGUGAAAUCCCGGGGCCCAACCCCGGAAUUGCACUCGAAACUGCCUCGCUAGAGUCCCGGAGAGGAAGGCGGAAUUCCCGGUGUAGAGGUGAAAUUCGUAGAUAUCGGGAGGAACACCAGCGGCGAAGGCGGCCUUCUGGACGGUGACUGACGCUCAGAAGCGAAAGCGUGGGGAGCAAACAGG